rnacentral:rRNA from 1 species
GAAUGCUGACAUAAGUAACGAUAAAGCGGGUGAAAAGCCCGCUCGCCGGAAGACCAAGGGUUCCUGUCCAACGUUAAUCGGGGCAGGGUGAGUCGACCCCUAAGGCGAGGCCGAAAGGCGUAGUCGAUGGGAAACAGGUUAAUAUUCCUGUACUUGGUGUUACUGCGAAGGGGGGACGGAGAAGGCUAUGUUGGCCGGGCGACGGUUGUCCCGGUUUAAGCGUGUAGGCUGGUUUUCCAGGCAAAUCCGGAAAACCAAGGCUGAGGCGUGAUGACGAGGCACUACGGUGCUGAAGCGACAAAUGCCCUGCUUCCAGGAAAAGCCUCUAAGCAUCAGGUAACAUCAAAUCGUACCCCAAACCGACACAGGUGGUCAGGUAGAGAAUACCAAGGCGCUUGAGAGAACUCGGGUGAAGGAACUAGGCAAAAUGGUGCCGUAACUUCGGGAGAAGGCACGCUGAUAUGUAGGUGAAGCGACUUGCUCGUGGAGCUGAAAUCAGUCGAAGAUACCAGCUGGCUGCAACUGUUUAUUAAAAACACAGCACUGUGCAAACACGAAAGUGGACGUAUACGGUGUGACGCCUGCCCGGUGCCGGAAGGUUAAUUGAUGGGGUUAGCGGUAACGCGAAGCUCUUGAUCGAAGCCCCGGUAAACGGCGGCCGUAACUAUAACGGUCCUAAGGUAGCGAAAUUCCUUGUCGGGUAAGUUCCGACCUGCACGAAUGGCGUAAUGAUGGCCAGGCUGUCUCCACCCGAGACUCAGUGAAAUUGAACUCGCUGUGAAGAUGCAGUGUACCCGCGGCAAGACGGAAAGACCCCGUGAACCUUUACUAUAGCUUGACACUGAACAUUGAGCCUUGAUGUGUAGGAUAGGUGGGAGGCUUUGAAGUGUGGACGCCAGUCUGCAUGGAGCCGACCUUGAAAUACCACCCUUUAAUGUUUGAUGUUCUAACGUUGGCCCGUAAUCCGGGUUGCGGACAGUGUCUGGUGGGUAGUUUGACUGGGGCGGUCUCCUCCUAAAGAGUAACGGAGGAGCACGAAGGUUGGCUAAUCCUGGUCGGACAUCAGGAGGUUAGUGCAAUGGCAUAAGCCAGCUUGACUGCGAGCGUGACGGCGCGAGCAGGUGCGAAAGCAGGUCAUAGUGAUCCGGUGGUUCUGAAUGGAAGGGCCAUCGCUCAACGGAUAAAAGGUACUCCGGGGAUAACAGGCUGAUACCGCCCAAGAGUUCAUAUCGACGGCGGUGUUUGGCACCUCGAUGUCGGCUCAUCACAUCCUGGGGCUGAAGUAGGUCCCAAGGGUAUGGCUGUUCGCCAUUUAAAGUGGUACGCGAGCUGGGUUUAGAACGUCGUGAGACAGUUCGGUCCCUAUCUGCCGUGGGCGCUGGAGAACUGAGGGGGGCUGCUCCUAGUACGAGAGGACCGGAGUGGACGCAUCACUGGUGUUCGGGUUGUCAUGCCAAUGGCACUGCCCGGUAGCUAAAUGCGGAAGAGAUAAGUGCUGAAAGCAUCUAAGCACGAAACUUGCCCCGAGAUGAGUUCUCCCUGAGACUUAGAGUCUCCUGAAGGAACGUUGAAG